AUUGUAAGCAUGUGGCUGAAAACAAAAGACACCGACAAGCAAUUCUGCAAGUUCUGUGAACAAAAGGAGAUCAUUGUUCCUGCUAAAUAUUGCUGUAAACCGUGCAUGGCAAUCAUCUGCGACGAAUGUAAGGAUUUGCAUGAAUUUGUAACAAUUCUUCAAAACCAUAAGAUUGUUAACAUAGAUGAUACUAUUGAAGAUUGUGGAAUAAAUGUUGAGAUUGAAGAGCUGUGUCCAGAACACGAGGGGAACACGAUCGAUGCAUUUUGCCAAUUACAUCAGAAAUUAUGUUGUUGUAUUUGCCGUGCUAAACACCACAGAUCGUGUCAGUCGGUAGAAAUUUUAGCAGACAUGGCAGUGGAAACAGGACAAACCGAUGUUCAAAAUAUUUUAGCAUCAUUUUCUGACUUGCGAAAUGAUAUUUGGAACUUUCCUGAUAAGUACACACAGCCAGACACUAAUUUCCGGAAACAACUUUUAAAACAGGAGAAGCUUGAAGAUGUAAAGUUGUCAAAAUCUCCCUUUGGAACGGUUGAGACUCUUCAGUAUGUCUGCACUGCUACCUGCAGCAAUUUUUUGAGAAGUAAACAUGACAUGUCUAAGAAAGACUGGAUAGAAGUUACCUUCAAACGAGUAUCCCAAAUAACCAGUUUGCCAGAGAGGUCUUAUUAUGGUUUAUUCGUUCAUGACACAAGCAUCAUUCUGAGUUUUAUGAAACACCCUGCACUUAUAAAAUUUACGAUAUUAGCGAACCUGUCGGGAAAUGUAUUCACACUGAAAAAUGUCCGAGCGUACCGUACGGCCUGUGCCACUCCAGAAUAA
rnacentral:sRNA from 1 species